CAAUAAAAAUGUAUCACUAUAUAAUUUAAUAUUUUAUAUCUGCACUAUGCUAUCCUUCCUGUCUGUCUAUCUGUCUGUCUGUCUAUCUAUCUAUCUCUGUCUGUCUAUUUAUAUUCAACAAAAGGCUUGAACAGUAUAUUUAUUUGUACUGGUGGUGUAACCAGCAGUACUUUGGUCAACACUCAUGUGACUUUCUCCUCUAUAAUUUAGCUUUUAUUU